rnacentral:tRNA from 1 species
AAAGGGAGACCUAAUUCGGGUAGAAGACGAAAAAAAAAGUAGUCGCUACCAAGAAUCAAUCCCAAAAGGUCGGAGCGAGGCAUGAGGCUUUCAAACUAGGUUCUGGGUUCAUAAAAGACCUGAAUCAGGAACAAGGGCUAUUAGCUCAGGUGGUUAGAGCGCACCCCUGAUAAGGGUGAGGUCCCUGGUUCGAGUCCAGGAUGGCCCACCUGCACAGGUGGCAAAAACAAGAGAAGCGAGGAAUCAGCACCUUAUCUUAUUUAUAUAUAAGAGAGAAUGCUGGCUCUGAGUACAGAGUCCAGAGGAACCUUGAAAACUGCAUAGAGCUAGGUGAAAAAGCCAAAAAAGAAGACCGCAAG